AUAAUGCACCCAGCUAAAAAUAUAUUUCACAAUAUGAAACCAUCACACAAUUAGGGAGGCAUAUACUACGUUUCUUCAUCAUAACAAUUAGGAAAAUUUGCGAGAAAACACCUUAUUUGUUUAACUUUUUGUAAGAAAACACCUUAUAUAUUUUUCUUUGUGAAAAAACACCUUAUAUAAUAUUUUUUAUUAAAACAACCACCUUACUUCUGGAUUCCGGCAAAAAAAAGUCAAUUUUCCGGUUUGACCUCACUUUUCUUUUUUCUUUUUUCUUUUGAGCGUGUGAACUUCACGCUAUACAUAAAAAAGUGGGUUUCUAUUUGUUUUGUUAUAAUGAAGAGAGAGAAAGAUGGGAGAGCAACUGGAAGGUUCCCAAAGUUCACACCAUCUCCAUUGAUAAGCAUCUGGAAGAUUGAUUUUAUUUCGCGGCCAUUCCUCCAUUGAUAAGCAUCAGUUAAGUUGGCAGUUGUAUCAAACUUUGACACCAGAUUAAGGAAGCUUUUGAAGGAACUCAAUGUCUUAGAUCUGUAUGGACCAUUGUCCUCUCUGCAGUUAUCUGUAAACUGUAAUCUUCACUUACUUGCAAGGCUAUCUCUAUUUUCAGGCCAAUUGUUAUACUAGACAUAAAAAUUGGAUUCUGCCCUUUUGAAGGUUCUAGUGUCUUGUCAAGUUAAUAUGGUUUGGUAAAAGAUACAGACAUCUGUACUUGUUUCUUUCUCUUUGCAUCAUCAAUUUAUGUGCUCGGAUUUGGUUUCUC